GUCUUUGAGGCUUAGUGGUAAAGCGCCUGACUUCCGAAUCGAGGGUCCCGGGUUAAAAUCGUGGUGAAGACU
rnacentral:tRNA from 1 species